rnacentral:rRNA from 1 species
AUGUUAAAACUUGGCAUGGUAUCAUCAUUUCACCCACAUAGCAUGUGCAAGAGAGUAGAGGGGGUUAGGGCAAAAACUAGAAGCACUUUGUGUACAAACUGGACAGUCUCUUUCGGAAUAUCAGGGCUUCGGACGAGAACUCAUCUGUUACACCGCCACUUCAUGUUUUCUAAACUUAUUACAACUCCAGACUAUUUUUGCGUUCAGUACGCACUAUUCAACGUCAUCACUUUUCAACACUUUGUGACAUCAUUUGCUGUUUUUCAGUCAUUUACCGAUUUGUUUUCAGAGCUAAAUGACCAUGAAAUUGAAAAUCGCUACAAAAUAAACUCUGAAAAUGUUGAAACUUGGCAUGGUAUCAUCAUUUCACCCACAUAG